GACAGAGGGUGCAAACGUUGUUCGGAAUUACUGGGCGUAAAGCGCGUGUAGGCUGUUCGGCAAGUCGGGUGUGAAAGCCCCGGGCUCAACCCGGGAAGUGCACUCGAAACUCCCGAACUGGAGUCCUGGAGAGGAAGGCGGAAUUCUCGGUGUAGAGGUGAAAUUCGUAGAUAUCGAGAGGAACAUCGGUGGCGAAGGCGGCCUUCUGGACAGUGACUGACGCUGAGACGCGAAAGCGUGGGGAGCAAACAGG
rnacentral:rRNA from 1 species